GUUGUAGAGAGGUUUGGGAGGGUUGUGAAGGUGUUUGUUGGGGAUGUUGUAGAGAGGUUUGGGAGGGUUGUGAAGGUGUUUGUUGGGGAUGUUGUAGAGAGGGUUGUGAAGGUGUUUGUUGGGGAUGUUGGGAGGUUUGGGAGGGUUGUGAAGGUGUUUGUUGGGGAUGUUGUAGAGGGUUUGGGAGGGUUGUGAAGGUGUUUGUUGGGGAUGUUGUAGAGAGGUUUGGGAGGGUUGUGAAGGUGUUUGUUGGGGAUGUUGUAGAGAGGUUUGGGAGGGUUGUGAAAGUGUGUUCUCUAUGUUGAUCAUCGGAACUCAUUUGAAGGUAACCUAUACACACAAAUGGAAGUACGGAGGUAGUUUUGUGCCCCC
ensembl:lncRNA